AGAAUCAACGCUGGCGGCGUGCCUAACACAUGCAAGUCGCACGAGAAAGGGGACUUCGGUCCUUGAGUACAGUGGCGCACGGGUGAGUAACACGUGAAUAAUCUACCUUCGAGUGGGGAAUAACUGAGAGAAAUCUUAGCUAAUACCGCAUAAUACCUACGGGUCAAAGCAGCAAUGCGCUUGAAGAGGAGUUCGCGGCAGAUUAGUUAGUUGGCGGGGUAAUGGCCCACCAAGACGAUGAUCUGUAUCCGGCCUGAGAGGGCGCACGGACACACUGGAACUGAAACACGGUCCAGACUCCUACGGAGGCAGCAGUGGGGAAUUUUGCGCAAUGGGGGAAACCCUGACGCAGCAACGCCGCGUGGAGGAUGAAAUCCCUUGGGAUGUAAACUCCUUUCGAUCGGGAAGAUAAUGACGGUACCGAGAGAAGAAGCCCGGCUAACUUCGCGCCAGCAGCCGC
rnacentral:rRNA from 1 species